rnacentral:rRNA from 1 species
UACGAAGGGGGCUAGCGUUGCUCGGAAUCACUGGGCGUAAAGCGCACGUAGGCGGCUUUUUAAGUCAGGGGUGAAAUCCUGGAGCUCAACUCCAGAACUGCCUUUGAUACUGAGGAGCUUGAGUCCGGGAGAGGUGAGUGGAACUGCGAGUGUAGGGGUGAAAUUCGUAGAUAUUCGCAAGAACACCAGUGGCGAAGGCGGCUCACUGGCCCGGUACUGACGCUGAGGUGCGAAAGCGUGGGGAGCAAACAGG